rnacentral:rRNA from 1 species
AGCUCCAAUAGCGUAUAUUAAAGUUGUUGCAGUUAAAAAGCUCGUAGUUGGAUUUGUGGCUUGUGUCUUGGCGUCCAAUUUUUUGGUAUUGCUAGGGCCGUGCCAUCCUUGGGUGGAAUCUGUGUGGCAUUAGGUUGUCGUGCAGGGGAUGCCCAUCGUUUACUGUGAAAAAAUUAGAGUGUUCAAAGCAGGCUUAUGCCGUUGAAUAUAUUAGCAUGGAAUAAUAAGAUAGGUCUUUGGUCCUAUUUUGUUGGUUUGCGGGCCGGAGAAAUGAUUAACAGGGACAGUUGGGGGUAUUCGUAUUCCAUUGUCAGAGGUGAAAUUCUUGGAUUUCUGGAAGACGCACUACUGCGAAAGCAUUUACCAAGGAUGUUUUCAUUAAUCAAGAACGAAAGUACGC